rnacentral:rRNA from 1 species
AGGAUUAACGCUGGCGGCGUGCCUAAUACAUGCAAGUCGAGCGCACCUUCGGGUGAGCGGCGGACGGCUGAGUAACACGUUGGUACCUGCCCCAAACUCGGGAAUAAGCCUUGGAAACGAGGUCUAAAUGCCCGAUAGUUCUCUUCGGAGUAAAGAUUUUUCGGUUGGGAGGGCCUGCGCAUGAUUAGCUAGUUGGUGAGGUAAUGGCUCACCAAGGCGACGAUCAUUAAAUGGUCUGAGAGGAUGAUCAUUCAGACUGGGACUGAGACACGGCCAGACUCCUACGGGAGCAGCAGUAAGAUCUGCACAAGU